CGGAGGGUGCAAGCGUUAUCCGGAUUCACUGGGUUUAAAGGGUGCGUAGGCGGGCAGGUAAGUCCGUGGUGAAAUCUCUGAGCUUAACUCAGAAACUGCCAUGGAUACUAUUUGUCUUGAAUAUUGUGGAGGUAAGCGGAAUAUGUCAUGUAGCGGUGAAAUGCUUAGAUAUGACAUAGAACACCAAUUGCGAAGGCAGCUUACUACACAGUUAUUGACGCUGAGGCACGAAAGCGUGGGGAUCAAACAGGAUUAGAUACCCUGGUAGUCACGCCCUAAACGAUGAUUACUCGACAUCAGCGAUACACUGUUGGUGUCUGAGCGAAAGCAUUAAGUAAUCCACCUGGGAAGUACGAUCGCAGAUUG
rnacentral:rRNA from 1 species